rnacentral:rRNA from 1 species
GUGGGGAAUUUUCCACAAUGGGCGAAAGCCUGAUGGAGCAACGCCGCGUGUGUGAUGAAGGUCUUCGGAUCGUAAAGCACUUUCGACUGGGACGAAACACCCUUGGCUAACACUCAAGGGCUUGACGGUACCAGGAGAAGAAGCACCGGCUAACUCUGUGCCAGCAGCCGCGGUAAUACAGAGGGUGCAAGCGUUGUUCGGAAUUAUUGGGCGUAAAGCGCGUGUAGGCGGCAUGGCAAGUCGGGUGUGAAAGCCCUCAGCUUAACUGAGGAAGUGCGCCCGAAACUGCUGUGCUUGAGUGCCGGAGAGGAUGGCGGAAUUCCCCAAGUAGAGGUGAAAUUCGUAGAUAUGGGGAGGAACACCGGUGGCGUAGGCGGCCAUCUGGACGGUAACUGACGCUGAGACGCGAAAGCGUGGGUAGCAAACAGGAUUAGAUACCCUUGUAGUCC